AAGGCUAUACUUUUAGGGAUCAUUUCUAUAGUUUGUUCCUAGAGAAAUGUGUUUCUAAAGUGAUUGGUCUCGCUACCCACGAUGAAGAUUUACUUUGUUUUCUUCUGAGCGUGAUGAUCAGUAGUAAGUGUUUGUUUCUAAUACUGCUUUCUACGAUUGAUGAUCGUUUCUGUUCUUGAGUAGCAGAAGGAAGAAAACAUGUUCUAGAGAAGG
ensembl:snoRNA U3 Small nucleolar RNA U3